rnacentral:rRNA from 1 species
GACGAACGCUGGCGGCGUGCUUAACACAUGCAAGUCGAACGGAAAGGCCCUGCUUUUGUGGGGUGCUCGAGUGGCGAACGGGUGAGUAACACGUGAGUAACCUGCCCUUGACUUUGGGAUAACUUCAGGAAACUGGGGCUAAUACCGGAUAGGAGCUCCUGCUGCAUGGUGGGGGUUGGAAAGUUUCGGCGGUUGGGGAUGGACUCGCGGCUUAUCGGCUUGUUGGUGGGGUAGUGGCUUACCAAGGCUUUGACGGGUAGCCGGCCUGAGAGGGUGACCGGCCACAUUGGGACUGAGAUACGGCCCAGGCUCCUACGGGAGGCAGCAGUGGGGAAUAUUGCACAAUGGGCGGAAGCCUGAUGCAGCAACGCCGCGUGCGGGAUGACGGCCUUCGGGUUGUAAACCGCUUUCGCCUGUGACGAAGCGUGAGUGACGGUAAUGGGUAAAGAAGCACCGGCUAACUACGUG